rnacentral:sRNA from 1 species
UUCGAACCCAGCGCCCUCGUGGCAGCCUAG